UAACGCGAAGAACCUUACCAGGUCUUGACAUCUUCUGCCAGGCUGAGAGAUCAGCUGUUCCCUUCGGGGACAGAAUGACAGGUGGUGCAUGGUUGUCGUCAGCUCGUGGCGUGAGAUGUUGGGUUAAGUCCCGCAACGAGCGCAACCCUUAUGAUCAGUUGCCAGCAUUCAGUUGGGCACUCUGGUCAGACUGCCGGUGACAAACCGGAGGAAGGCGGGGAUGACGUCAAAUCAUCAUGCCCCUUAUGACCUGGGCUACACACGUGCUACAAUGGGUGGUACAACGAGCAGCGAGACCGCGUGGUCAAGCGAAUCUCUAAAAACCAUCCUCAGUUCGGAUUGCAGGCUGCAACUCGCCUGCAUGAAGCUGGAAUCGCUAGUAAUCGCGGAUCAGC
rnacentral:rRNA from 1 species